AUGAUUCAAGUACAAGUACCAGGAAGGACGUUCUCGCCAACUUCUAAGCCCAUAGAGUUUUCUUUCGAAGUACCCACCUGGAGUCUUGGCAAAAGUAUGGCAGCUCACAUUACCAUGGGACGUAUUGGAGAAGUCUACAACAGGGAGCUUAAAGACACCAUCUACCAGAUAUGUGGGCGCCGAGACGAGCAAUGUGAAGUAAUCAUCACCAAGAAGGAUAGAUCCAUUGCAGCUUUCAUCCAGGAGUUAAACCAGCACAUUCGACGACAGGAGAAUCAGAUGUGCGCAGACAUGAUGGAUUUGAAGAAGGCGAAGACCAAGAUUAUCGAGAUGGAGGAAGAACUCAAGUUUACAUGCGAUUGA
rnacentral:rRNA from 1 species